rnacentral:rRNA from 1 species
UACAGAGGGGGCAAGCGUUGUUCGGAAUUACUGGGCGUAAAGGGCGCGUAGGCGGCUUUCUAAGUCGAACGUGAAAUCCCCGGGCUCAACCCGGGAACUGCGUCCGAUACUGGAAGGCUUGAAUCCGGGAGAGGGAUGCGGAAUUCCAGGUGUAGCGGUGAAAUGCGUUGAUAUCAGGAGGAACACCCAUGGCGAAGGCAGCAAACUGGUCAUCAACUGACGCUGAGGCGCGAAAGCGUGGGGAGCAAACAGG